rfam:Trichobilharzia regenti genome assembly, scaffold: TRE_scaffold0013244
AUCCAGAUGACGAGUCCCAAAUAGAACGAAAUGCACAUCCUGGAU